GAUUGGCGGAUCUAUACAUGCAGUCGAGCGGACAGAUGGGAGCUUGCUCCCUGAUGUUAGCGGCGGACGGGUGAGUAACACGUGGGUAACCUGCCUGUAAGACUGGGAUAACUCCGGGAAACCGGGGCUAAUACCGGAUGGUUGUUUGAACCGCAUGGUUCAGUUUAAAACUGGGAUCCCGCUACCAAUUACAGAUGGACCAUUGGCGCACCUCUAGUUGGUGAGGUAAUGUGUCACCAACAUUGCAAUGCGUGUGCAACCUGAGAGGGUGAUCGG
rnacentral:rRNA from 1 species